UACGUAGGGGGCUAGCGUUGUUCGGAAUCACUGGGCGUAAAGCGCGCGCAGGCGGCUUGUUAAGUCGGGGGUGAAAUCCUGAGGCUCAACCUCAGAACUGCCUUCGAUACUGGCAAUCUCGAGUCCGGAAGAGGUUGGUGGAACAGCUAGUGUAGAGGUGAAAUUCGUAGAUAUUAGCUAGAACACCAGUGGCGAAGGCGGCCAACUGGUCCGGUACUGACGCUGAGGUGCGAAAGCGUGGGGAGCAAACAGG
rnacentral:rRNA from 1 species